GGACAAUAUAACGCUUCUGGAUGUCUCCUGUCACUUUUCUCCUGGGAAGACGAGCUAAUGUGAUUGGUGAAGAGCCUGAAAGCCACCGAGCCAUGAUUUUUCCAAGGACUCUGGUCAUUGAAUUGAAAAGGAGAGUCAAGCUUCUUGGGAGUAUGGCACAGAUGUAUACAAUUUUUCACAAAGGAGCCCACCAUUUUAAUGGAUCAUCCACCUGCGGAUCUUGGAGCAGAAAACCAAUCUAUUUUUUUCUCUAAAACUGAAGGAGUUCUUGAGGGAAGGAAACAGCCCUGUACAUUAUGCAGAGGUAUGUCCACUUCAGAUAGUAUCUGAUUAGGACUGGUAACAAAAAGAAUUUAACAGUAACAAAUUUUCCGUGUGGUUAACUGGAAUUACUAAGUGGCUAAAAAAUUAAACUGAAGUACAAAAACAUGUUUUCCAUGUGAGUUUUCCUUUGACCUUCACUCCUUCCUCAUUUAUUUAACCAUUCUAUGAGCAUAUGCUAGACACUAAGGAUGCAAGGAUGAAUAGGAUACAGUCCCUACCCUCCGGGUGCUCCCAGGGUAGUGAAGGAAACAGCCAUAUGAACAGGUAAUUAUGAAACAAUGUGUUAAGUGACAAUGAUAUGCAGAGUAUUAUAAAAAUAUAGAGGUAAUUCAUUCAGGGCCUAGACACCUCACCUUCUGAGGAGGUGACAGAAGUUUGCCAGGUGAAGGAGGAAGAGAAUUACAUAUUGAGGGAAAAGCAAGAGUUAAGACAGGGCUUCCCUGGUGGCGC